AGAAGAUAUCCUCUGAUCUGAAGCUGUUAAAAUGGGAAGCAAAAACAUAAAUCAACCCGAACUUCUAUAUAUAAGGAAUCUUUCUUGAAAAUGCUUACCAUAAAAACAACAUAUAAUAAUAAGUGCUUUUAAUAUUUUUCGAUAAUUAACAGAAACAAGAAUAGUUAUCGGAAAACAGUUGAUUAAACCAAGUGAACAUAAGCAUAAACUUACCGUACUA
rnacentral:misc_RNA from 1 species